rnacentral:rRNA from 1 species
UACGUAGGUGGCGAGCGUUGUCCGGAUUUACUGGGCGUAAAGAGCCCGCAGGCGGCCUGGCAAGUUUCAGGUGAAAUCUCCCGGCUCAACUGGGAGGGUGCUUGGAAAACUGCCAGGCUUGAGGCAGGGAGAGGGAUGCAGAAUUCCAGGUGUAGCGGUGAAAUGCGUAGAUAUCUGGAGGAAUACCGGUGGCGAAGGCGGCAUCCUGGACCGGCAUUGACGCUGAACAGCGAAAGCUAGGGGAGCAAACGGG